rnacentral:rRNA from 1 species
CAGUCGCCGCGGGAAAACGUAGGUGGCAAGCGUUGUCCGGAAUUAUUGGGCGUAAAGCGCGCGCAGGUGGUUUAAUAAGUCUGAUGUGAAAGCCCACGGCUCAACCGUGGAGGGUCAUUGGAAACUGUUAAACUUGAGUGCAGGAGAGAAAAGUGGAAUUCCUAGUGUAGCGGUGAAAUGCGUAGAGAUUAGGAGGAACACCAGUGGCGAAGGCGGCUUUUUGGCUUGUAACUGACACUGAGGCGCGAAAGCGUGGGGAGCAAACAGGAUUAGAUACCCGUGUAGUCCCUGUCUCUUAUAA